rnacentral:rRNA from 1 species
GGUUGAUCCUGCCAGUAGUCAUAUGCUUGUCUCAAAGAUUAAGCCAUGCAUGUCUAAGUAUAAACUGCUUAUACUGUGAAACUGCGAAUGGCUCAUUAAAUCAGUUAUAGUUUAUUUGAUGGUACCUUACUACUCGGAUAACCGUAGUAAUUCUAGAGCUAAUACGUGCGCACAUCCCGACUCACGAAGGGACGUAUUUAUUAGAUAAAAGGCCGACCGGGGCAACCCGACUCGCGGUGAAUCAUGAUAACUUCACGAAUCGUACGGCCUUGUGCCGACGAUGUUUCAUUCAA